rnacentral:rRNA from 1 species
UACGGAGGGUGCGAGCGUUAAUCGGAAUUACUGGGCGUAAAGGGUGCGUAGGUUGUUUGAUAAGUUAGAUGUGAAAGUCCUGGGCUUAACCUGGGGACUGCAUCUAAGACUGUUAGACUUGAGUAUAGGAGAGGGUAGUGGAAUUUCCGGUGUAGCGGUGAAAUGCGUAGAGAUCGGAAGGAACACCAGUGGCGAAGGCGGCUACCUGGCCUGAUACUGACACUGAGGCACGAAAGCGUGGGGAGCAAAC